rnacentral:rRNA from 1 species
GUGAGUAACACGUGGAUAACCUACCUAUAAGACUGGGAUAACUUCGGGAAACCGGAGCUAAUACCGGAUAAUAUUUUGAACCGCAUGGUUCAAAAGUGAAAGACGGUCUUGCUGUCACUUAUAGAUGGAUUCGCGCUGCAUUAGCUAGUUGGUAAGGUAACGGCUUACCAAGGCAACGAUGCAUAGCCGACCUGAGAGGGUGAUCGGCCACACUGGAACUGAGACACGGUCCAG